GCAAAAUGAAUAUCAAGGACCUCCCAAACUUUUCAAAAUUUAUCCAGUCAUUCAGCACCUAAAUAACAAGUUCCAAAAUCUGUAUCUUCUGAACCAGAACAUUUCGAUAGACGAGUCCUUGACUCUAUGGAAAGGUCAUUUGUCUUUCAGACAAUACAUACCCCUCAAGGCUGCCAAAUUUGGCAUGAAAACGUAUGAACUCUGCGAGUCUAGCUCUGGCUAUGUUUGGUCUUUUCUCGUUUAUACUGGACGAGGCAUGGAACUAUCGAAUCAGUUUGUGACUGCAGAAACAAACAAAACUGCAGCAAUUGUAGUAAAACUGUUAGAAACUCUUCUUGGUCGUGGACACACAGUGUGGAUGGACAAUUUUUAUAUAUCCACCAGAUUUGGCUCGUUUCAUAAAGUCCAAAAAAACAAACUGUGUUGGAACUUUACGUGCUAACUGGAAAAAUGUCCCUCCUGCAGUGAAGAAUAAGAAAUUGAAGAAAGGAGAGCAGUGUGGUCAACACUCUGGAGAUGUGGCAGUUCUCGCGUGGCAAGAUAAAAAGUGAGUCACCAUGAUAUCUACAUACCACAAAGAUGAUGUGUGUGUGACUGUAAACAAAGCAAAGCGAGAAGAAACAAAGCCUGUGGUUGUUCGGGACUACAACAGAAACAUGCUAGGAGUGGAUCUGAAGGAUCAAAUGCUACAGCCGUACUUGCUGGAACGAAAGAGAGAAACAAAGUGGUACGUGAAAUUAUUCAAGAGACUACUCAAUGUAGCAACACAUAAUGCAAUGCAAAUAACAAAAACAUAGACUCCCUAAAAUUCAGACGUUUAUUUGCAGAAGGCCUCGUGGAAAAACACGGUUCUGGUGUUCCUCGUCUUGUAUACGGCCAUCCGUCAGUUGAGCCGCCACCUAAUAGACUCUCAGAACGACAUUUCCCGGAGCAUAUUCCUGCCACAGGAAAGAAGGCAAGACCUCAAAGAAAAUGUGUGUUGUGUACAAAACACGGAAAGAGGAGAGAUUCUACUUAUUGGUGUAGUGAAUGUGAGGCAGGGUUGUGUUUAGAUGGAUGUUUCAAGAACUACCAUACAAAACUCAACUUCUAAUCCACUUGCUUCCAUUGCUCAUACACAGGGUGCUCAUGUUAUAAGUCUAAUUCUGUUAGCAGAUGUGAUUGUGCUUGAACACUUCCUACCAGGAGUGCCAAAUCUCAUUGCGAGUGACACCCAAAUACAUUCGGAUGAUGGAAGAACAAGGGCAGAGGAAAAUGAAGAGUCAUCCAUUCAACACUGACACCACGUGGGAUGAUUUCAGGGCAAAGGCAGUAAUUCCUGUUUCUCCAUGACAACAUUGUCGAUGAUGAUGAAGACCAGUUUGGCGUGGAUGCUCACCAUCGGUUACCGG